GAUGAACGCUAGCGGCAGGCUUAAUACAUGCAAGUUGAGGGGCAGCAUGAAGUAGCAAUACUUUGAUGGCGACCGGCAAACGGGUGCGGAACACGUACACAACCUCCCUUUAAGUGGGGAAUAGCCCAGAGAAAUUUGGAUUAAUACCCCGUAACACAACGAAGUGGCAUCACUUUGUUGUUAUAGUUUCGACGCUUAAUGAUGGGUGUGCGUAUGAUUAGAUAGUUGGCGAGGUAACGGCUCACCAAGUCUACGAUCAUUAGCUGAUGUGGGAGCAUGAUGAGCCACACGGGAACUGGGAGACGAGCCCGACUCCUACGGGAGGCAGCAGUAAGGAAUAUUGGUCAAUGGACGGAAGUCUGAACCAGCCAUGCCGCGUGAAGGAUUAAGGUCCGCUGGAUUGUAAGCUUCUUUUAUAGGGGACGAAAAAAGGUCUUUCUAGACCCCUUGACGGUACCAUAUGAAUAAGCACCGGCUAACUCCGUGCCAGCAGCCGCAGUAACAC
rnacentral:rRNA from 1 species